CACGUAGGGCGCAAGCGUUGUCCGGAAUUAUUUGGGCGUAAAGAGCUCGUAGGCGGCUUGUCGCGUCGGCUGUGAAAACCUGGGGCUCAACCCCGGGCCUGCAGCCGAUACGGGCAAGCUAGAAUUCGGUAGGGGAGACUGGAAUUCCAGGUGUAGUGGUGAAAUAACGUAGAUAUCUGGAGGAACACCGGUGGCGAAGGCGGCGAUCUGGCCCAACAUUGACACUGAGACCCGAAAGCGUGGGAUCAAACAGG
rnacentral:rRNA from 1 species